UCGGCCGGGCGCAGCCGGGCCCGGGACGCGCGGCCGCGGCGGAGGUACAGCCUCCGGGCCGCCGUCCCGGCCCUCGGCCCGCGGAGGCCGAGCGGCCCCCUGGACGUGUCGGCGUUGCCCCCCUUUUGAGUGGUCCCUUCCGGAGAGCACACGGGAGGAAUUUUGUUGUCAGAGCCUAAGAGGAGGUUGUCGUAAUUGACUUUACGCAGCAAACACUAAAACACAGCUCUUCAGCUCCGCCUUUCUUGCUCUGAGAAUUGGAAAACCAAAAAGGUUUUGAUGUUUUGUGUGGCGUCACCUGAAUUAGAAGCCAAGAUGAACGUAACCAAAGGCGGCCUGGUGCUGUUCUCAGCAAAUUCUAACUCCUCGUGCAUGGAGCUUUCCAAGAAAAUCGCCGAGCGGCUGGGAGUGGAGAUGGGCAAAGUGCAGGUGUACCAGGAGCCGGACAGAGAAACAAGAGUGCAGAUUCAAGAGUCCGUGAGGGGGAAGGACGUGUUCAUCAUCCAGACGGUGUCCAGGGACGUGAACAGCACCAUCAUGGAGCUCCUGAUCAUGGUGUACGCGUGUAAGACGUCUUGUGCCAAAAGCAUCAUCGGCGUGAUCCCCUACUUCCCGUACAGCAAGCAGUGCAAGAUGCGGAAGCGCGGCUCCAUCGUCUCCAAGCUGCUGGCGUCGAUGAUGUGCAAAGCUGGUCUCACUCAUCUCAUCACCAUGGAUUUGCACCAGAAGGAAAUCCAGGGCUUCUUCAACAUCCCUGUUGACAAUUUAAGGGCGUCUCCCUUCUUACUACAGUAUAUUCAAGAAGAGAUCCCGGAUUACAGGAACGCGGUGAUUGUGGCCAAGUCUCCAGCCUCAGCCAAGAGGGCACAGUCCUUUGCGGAGCGCUUGCGCCUGGGGAUCGCGGUCAUCCACGGGGAAGCGCAGGAUGCCGAGUCCGACCUGGUGGACGGCCGGCACUCCCCGCCCAUGGUCCGGAGCGCGGCCGCCAUCCACCCCAGCCUGGAGAUCCCCAUGCUGAUUCCCAAGGAGAAGCCCCCGAUCACGGUUGUCGGCGACGUGGGCGGAAGGAUCGCCAUCAUUGUGGAUGACAUCAUUGAUGAUGUGGACGGCUUCCUCGCAGCCGCAGAGACCCUGAAAGAGAGGGGCGCCUACAAGAUCUUCGUGAUGGCCACACACGGCCUGCUGUCCUCUGACGCCCCCCGGCUGAUUGAGGAGUCUGCCAUCGACGAGGUGGUGGUUACCAACACAAUCCCACACGAAAUCCAGAAGCUCCAGUGCCCCAAAAUCAAAACUGUGGACAUCAGCAUGAUCCUCUCAGAAGCCAUCCGUCGGAUUCACAAUGGGGAGUCCAUGUCCUACCUUUUCAGAAACAUAGGUUUAGAUGACUGACGGGUUCCCGUGUUAAAACUCCUGAGGGCCAAACUGGGGUCUGAGAAUGAGUGCCGUGAGGUGUUGCUGGCUGGGUGUGUUUCACAGGGGCCACCUGUGUCUCGUUCCUUCCUUUUUGUUCAUUCCUACAGAGACAGACCAACUUCUUACGUCUGCGUGGGUGUUUGUGAGUCUGGGGGGCAAUUUUUAUAACAGAAAAACUGUAUUGUCCUCUUAAAUAAGUUAAGACCUGGUUGUGUUUAGUUUAACUAUUUAAAAAAUAACUGGGAAUAAGAUUUUUAAGCUCACAAAUAGCCUUUUUCCAAAAUUGCUUGAGCCCAAGUGCUUAAAAAAGUUAAUAAAAUAAAAUGAUCUACUAAUGAUACCGCAGUUGAGAAGCCAAAAAGAUUCUCCUGUCAACUCCAGUAAACUUCCAGAAGUGCUUUUAUAGACAAGCUUAUGGAAUAUGUGAUGGUUAUUUAUUUUCUGCAACAAAAGAAGGAAUAAAAACUUACCGUGUUUGUGUGGUUUUUUUUAAAUUUUGUGUUUUGGCAAUUGUUUUAUAACUGAAAUAAAAUGGAAGCUGAAUGUGAGUGCUGUGGAUGUCGAGGUGUAUGGCCGCUUGUGGGGUUGUCUGCAGCUUCGGGUGGCACGGCAGCCUUCAGGGUGUGAUGUUCCCUGUUCUGUCUGUCCAGGGCCCUGCACGUUGAUGCAUAGUCACUUGACUGCAGCAGCAGAGGAGUUGGAACGCCAGCUGUGAGCUCAGGGGGCAGAGUUUUGAGGAAGUGUGUGAUGACUCGCUGGCUGACCACUAAGCUGACUGAACAGAGACUGCGAUUGCCACAAACAACAAAGAGCGCAGACUACAAGAUCAGCUGAGAAAAGCCACUGCACAAAUGAACCCUGUAGAGAGAAGAGAAUCUGGUCUCCAGACUUCUGCAUUAUCAUAUGGAAAAUACCAGUUUUCAACAACAAAGAAAUUUUGAGGCAUGUAAAGAAACAAGAAUGUUGGGCCCGCAUGCAGGGAAAAAAGUUAUUAGUAGAAACUGUCCUUGAGGAAGCCCAGCCUUUAGACUUACUAGACGCAGACUUCAAAUCAACCAUUUUAAACACGCUCAAGGAGCCAAAGGAAGCCAUGGGAGUGACGUCUCACCAGACAGAGAAUAUCAGGGAGGGGACAGAAAUAAUAAAAAUGAGCCAAACAGGAUUUGAGGAAGGUGGAGCAGGAGGCACCCAGAAUCUGUCUCCACCUAGACUUGCAGUGGGAAUUCCACCUGGUGAUUUGGGAACUCCAGAGUCUAUUGAAGGUUUGCAACUUUUAGGGGGAGGAUUGGACAGUAAGUUGCAGUUAAUUUUGCUCAAAUCCAGCUCUUAGCGCAGUUACAGAUACCCCACCCCACUCCCAGCCCUGCGGCAGGCAACUGUGCACAUGCUCCUGGAGCAGUCCGCGCAGGCCUGUGGGAGCCAGAGUGGGCGAAAAGUCCCCCUCCCCCAAAUAGCGGUAUCUGUGUUCUGAUGGCUGAUUGCCGCCUCUGAUCACAGAGGUGCAGAGAGGCUAGAGGCCAUUGUUGCUUCACCUUCCUCGUUGCAGGCUCCUCCCCCUCCAGCUGAAGAGUGAACAUGUCCUCAUUCUGUGAGACCAGCAUUACCCUAAUACAAAAACCAGAUAAAGACAUAAGAAAGUAACACUAAAGUCCAGUAUCUUGUGAACAUAGGUGCAGAAAUCCUCAGCAAAGUAUUAGCAAGUUUGUUGGUUUAUCUCAGAUGAGCAAGGCUGUCUCAGCAUUUGAAAGUCAACUUACGUAAUCCAUCUCAUCAACGGGCUUUAAAAAAUAAGUUACAUGAUUACAUCAAUCGAUAACAGAAAAAGCAUCUAAAUCCAAUGUCCAUUCAUGAUAAAAACUGAGUAAAAUAAGAAUAAAGGGGGAACUUCCUCAUCAUGAUAAAGAAUAUCUACAAACAGCCUGCAGUGAACAUCAUACUUAGUGGUGAGGAACUGGAAGUUUUCCCACUAAGAUCAGGAAUAAGGCAAGGGUGGCCCUUCUGAUCACUGUUUUGACAUUGUACUGGAAACCCAAGCUACUGCGGUAAGACAAGAAAAGGACUUAAAGGGUAUACAAAUUGGAAGGAAGAAAUAAAACUGCCUUUGUUCUCAGAUGAUAUGAUAAUCUAUGUAGAAAAUUUGAAAAAAUUUACAACCACCCGUCUCCCCCAGAACUAAUAAGUGAUUAUAGCAAGACUGCAGGAUACAAAGUCAGUUCCUUUCCUGUGUAUCAGCAGUGAGCACGUGGAAUUUGAAAAUAAAAAUAAAAUACCAUUUACAUUAGCACCACAAAAAUAACAUACGUAGGUAAAAAUAUAGCAAAAUACGUGAAAAUCUGUAUAAGGAAAACUAUAAAACUGAUCAAAGAAAUCAAAGAACUAAAUAGAUGGAGAGAUAGUCCGUGUUCAUGGAGAGCAAGACUCAUUAUUGCCAAGAUGUCACUUCUUCCCAACUUUAGCUAAAGAUUCAGUGCAAUCUCAAUCAAAAUCCCACCAGGUUAUUCUGUGGAUUUUGAAAAGCUGACUCUAGAGAUUCGAUGGAGAAGGGAAAGACCCAGAAUAGCCAAUACAAUACAGGAGAAGAACAAAGUUGGAGUGGAGUACCUCACUUCAAGACAACUCUGAAGCUACCGUUACCAAGAGUGACACUGUUGAAAGAGUAGACAAGUAGACCAGUUGAACAGAAUAGAGAGUGCAGAAACAGACCCACAUAAACACAGCCAACCAGUCUGACCAAGGAGCAAAAGCAAUACAAUGAACCAAAGAGUCUUUUCAGCAGUGUUUGAAUCACUGGACAGUCACAUAAAAAAAAAUGUAGACUUAAAUGUAAAAGUCAAAGCCAUGAAACUCUUAGAAGAUAACACAGGAGAAAACCUAGGUGACCUUGGUAUGGCAGUUACUUUUUAGUUAUGAUGCCAGGGGGAUAAUCCAUGAAAGAAAUCAUUGACAAACUGGAAUUUGCUAAAAUUAAAAAGUUCUACUCUGAAAUGCACUGUUAAGAGUG